rnacentral:rRNA from 1 species
UACAGGUCUGGCAAUUGGAAUGAGAACAAUUUAAAUCCCUUAUCGAGUAUCAAUUGGAGGGCAAGUCUGGUGCCAGCAGCCGCGGUAAUUCCAGCUCCAAUAGCGUAUAUUAAAGUUGUUGCAGUUAAAAAGCUCGUAGUUGGAUUUCUGGGCUGAGCGACCGGUCCGCCGCUGUGCGGUGUGUACUCGGGUGCGACUCGGCUCAUCCUUGCAGGGAACAUUGUUCGGUCUUAAUUGGUCGAGAAUGGGAAUUGCAUCGUUUACUGUGAAAAAAUUAGAGUGUUUAAAGCAGGCUUAUGCCGUUGAAUAUAUUAGCAUGGAAUAAUGAUAUAGGACCUUGGUACUAUUUUGUUGGUUUGCGCACUAAGGUAAUGAUUAAGAGGGACAGUUGGGGGUAUUUGUAUUCCAUUGUCAGAGGUGAAAUUCUUGGAUUUUUGAAAGACGAACUAAUGCGAAAGCAUUUACCAAGGAUGUUUUCAUUAAUCAAGAACGAAAGUUAGGGGAUCGAAGAUGAUUAGAUACCAUCGUAGUCUUAACCAUAAACUAUGCCGACAAGGGAU